rnacentral:rRNA from 1 species
UGAGGAAUAUUGGGCAAUGCCCGCAAGGGUGACCCAGCAACGCCGCGUGGAGGAUGAAUGUCGUAAGAUUGUAAACUCCUGUUAGAGGGGAAGAAUAGUACCGGUUGGACCGGUAUAUGACUGUACCCUCAGAGAAAGCCCCGGCUAACUACGUGCCAGCAGCCGCGGUAAUACGUAGGGGGCAAGCGUUGUCCGGAUUUACUGGGUGUAAAGGGCGCGCAGGCGGGAUAAAAAGUCAGUGGUGAAAUCCCCGAGCUUAACUUGGGAACUGCCAUUGAUACUAUAUAUCUUGAAUACCGUAGAGGUAAGCGGAGUAUGUCAUGUAGCGGUGAAAUGCUUAGAUAUGACAUGGAACACCAAUUGCGAAGGCAGCUUACUAUGCGGUGAUUGACACUGAGGCACGAAAGCGUGGGUAGCAAACA